CACUAGAUGGGGAACUAGCGAUGCCCUGUACCUGCAAUCGCUACAGCAGGGUCGAAUUCCCGGCCCCGGCUUUUUACAAUUUAAGUCAGCCUUAUGCAAGUGGUGUUGACAAGUGGGUCUUGCGCAAUAGAAACCUAUGAACCUGGUCAGAUCGGGAACGAAGCAGCCAUAAGUAGUCAUUUUUAUGUGCCGUAAGGUAGCCUAUUUCGAGCUAACUACAUUAGUAAC
rnacentral:SRP_RNA from 1 species